rnacentral:misc_RNA from 1 species
GAUAUCUUUUAUUGUUCUCUAUGCUUAUCUUGUGUUCUAACUUUUUUUCUUUCAUUAAUUCAAAAAAACUAUUUUUGUCAUUUAAUUUGCAUUCUCAAUUUUUUUUAUGGUUGCUUUCAAUAUUUGAGUUUGUUUGAUGAGUUAUUGUGAUCCUAUUUAUGUAUCUGAACCUAAAACUAACCCUCACCGUAGCUACAAAAAGUUCACUAAAUUCACUAAGCCAAAAGUCUAUUAAUUCAACACAAAGCCAAGCAGUGCAGGGACUUGUGAACUUGAUGAGCAAGCAAUCAUACAAUUCAGGGUUUUUGCUUAUAACUUUUGUUUUGUUUGUACUUUCAUUAUUCUAUGAUUUUGUUUUAUUAUUAUGAUUUUUUUUAAUGUAACCUAUAUAUUAUUGAAUAAUUACUAAUAUUCAACUUUUGAUUCAUAAAAUAAAAUCCCAACUUUGGUUACUAUAUCUUGGAGUCCUAUUUUUCACUGAAAUAUAAUUAUUGAAUUGAUUAAAUUUUUUUCUUUUUUACUUAAAUAUUUAUAAAUAAUGAAUCAAAGAAAUAAAGAAUAAA